AGCGCACGCAGGCGGUCUGUCAAGUCGGAUGUGAAAUCCCCGGGCUCAACCUGGGAACUGCAUUCGAAACUGGCAGGCUAGAGUCUUGUAGAGGGGGGUAGAAUUCCAGGUGUAGCGGUGAAAUGCGUAGAGAUCUGGAGGAAUACCGGUGGCGAAGGCGGCCCCCUGGACAAAGACUGACGCUCAGGUGCGAAAGCGUGGGGAGCAAACAGGAUUAGAUACCCUGGUAGUCCACGCCGUAAACGAUGUCGACUUGGAGGUUGUUCCCUUGAGGAGUGGCUUCCGGAGCUAACGCGUUAAGUCGACCGCCUGGGGAGUACGGCCGCAAGGUUAAAACUCAAAUGAAUUGACGGGGGCCCGCACAAGCGGUGGAGCAUGUGGUUUAAUUCGAUGCAACGCGAAGAACCUUACCUACUCUUGACAUCCAGAGAACUUUCCAGAGAUGGAUUGG
rnacentral:rRNA from 1 species